UAAAGGUAGCCCCUUGAUGGCCUUGAAC
rnacentral:piRNA from 1 species